GCGGACGUGGUGCACGGUGCAGGGCUGCAUUUCAUUUGAGGUUGACGAGAAAAUUGAAGCAGCUGUCGGGGUUCGACUCCCCACGUCCGUA